AAUUGGAGGAUCAGGAGAUGGAGGAGGCAUGCUGCGGUCCAUUCGGAGGUGGAUGGUGGAAUCUUGAUUACGCUCCAUGGGAAGGAAUCUAAUCAAACAUAGCUUUUACCCUGGUCAGAUGAACUCUGCAAAGAUUAGAAUACAGGUACCUGAACCACAGAGAGGCUGGGCAACUUACCAGAGGUCAUGCAGCAAAUCAGCAGCAGGGACAGGAAUACUUCCCGGAUCUCCUGACUUUUGGUCCUGAGCUUUCCCGACUGGAACGGUGAUGAAUCAGAGAAGGGCAAUGGAACGACUCCUUUGGAUGUGUGACUCAAAUGCAUAUCACUCUUCAUCCUUGAAGUGCCUCCUUAUUACACAGAUCUGCUGGUAUGGGGAAAGGGACAAGAAAAUGUUGGCCAAAAAAUUUCUCCCAGCUCUAUUUGGGAUAAGAAGAGCGGUGUAGCACUGAAGCUUGGUACCUGCAUCUGUUUCUGUUGAGGAAUCCCAGGCUGAUGCUCCCAUAGAAGGAAGGAGGAAUUCUCUUCUUUUUCCCUGCAUUGAGUGGAGAAGACAAGGUCGGAGGACCCUGGGCAAGAGACUGUUCAGCUUGGGAGGAUGAAGAACAACUGAGAUCUGUACUGACACAUGAAACC